rnacentral:rRNA from 1 species
UACGUAGGGGGCAAGCGUUGUCCGGAAUCAUUGGGCGUAAAGCGCGUGUAGGCGGCCUUGUAAGUCCGUUCUGAAAGUCCGGGGCUCAACCCCGGGAGGCGGAUGGAUACUGUGAAGCUAGAGUACGGAAGAGGCGAGUGGAAUUCCUGGUGUAGCGGUGGAAUGCGCAGAUAUCAGGAGGAACACCAAUAGCGAAGGCAGCUCGCUGGGACGUUACUGACACUGAGGCGCGAAAGCGUGGGGAGCGAACAGG